rnacentral:rRNA from 1 species
GAUGAACGCUGGCGGCGUGCCUAAUACAUGCAAGUCGAACGCAUUGUGGUUGAAAUGAUAUGAAGAACUUGUUCAGAUUUGAUUUUCAACAUUGCAAUGAGUGGCGAACGGGUGAGUAACACGUGGGAAACCUACCUCUUAGCAGGGGAUAACAUUUGGAAACAAAUGCUAAUACCGUAUAAUAAUUAAAACCGCAUGGUUUUAGUUUAAAAGAUGGUCUUGCUAUCACUAAGAGAUGGUCCCGCGGUGUAUUAGUUAGUUGGUGAGGUAAUGGCUCACCAAGACAAUGAUACAUAGCCGAGUUGAGAGACUGACCGGCCACAAUGGGACUGAGACACGGCCCAUACUCCUACGGGAGCAGCAGUAGGGAAUCUUCCACAAUGGACGAAAGUCUGAUGGAGCAACGCCGCGUGUGUGAUGAAGGGUUUCGGCUCGUAAAACACUGUUGUAAGAGAAGAAUGACAUUGAGAGUAACUGUUCAAUGU